GACGAACGCUGGCGGCGUGCCUAAUACAUGCGAGUAGAACGCUGAAGAGAGGAGCUUGCUCUUCUUGGAUGAGUUGCGAACGGGUGAGUAACGCGUAGGUAACCUGCCUUGUAGCGGGGGAUAACUAUUGGAAACGAUAGCUAAUACCGCAUAACAAUGGAUGACACAUGUCAUUUAUUUGAAAGGGGCAAUUGCUCCACUACAAGAUGGACCUGCGUUGUAUUAGCUAGUAGGUGAGGUAAUGGCUCACCUAGGCGACGAUACAUAGCCGACCUGAGAGGGUGAUCGGCCACACUGGGACUGAGACACGGCCCAGACUCCUACGGGAGGCAGCAGUAGGGAAUCUUCGGCAAUGGGGGCAACCCUGACCGAGCAACGCCGCGGGAGUGAAGAAGGGUUUCGGAUCGUAAAGCUCUGUUGUAAGUCAAGAACGGGUGUGAGAGUGGAAAGUUCACACUGCGACGGUAGCUUACCAGAAAGGGACGGCUAACUACGUG
rnacentral:rRNA from 1 species